rnacentral:tRNA from 1 species
UGCCCAGGUAGCUCAGUUGGUAGAGCAUGCGACUGAAAAUCGCAGUGUCGGUGGUUCGAUCCCGCCCCUGGGCACCAU